rnacentral:rRNA from 1 species
AGAGUUUGAUCAUGGCUCAGGAUGAACGCUAGCGGCAGGCUUAACACAUGCAAGUCGAGGGGUAUCACGCUUUCGGGCGUGAGAGACCGGCGCACGGGUGAGUAACGCGUAUGCAACCUACCUUUAACAGAGGGAUAGCCCAUAGAAAUGUGGAUUAAUACCUCAUAGUUCUUAUUGGCCGCAUGGUCGGUAAGAUAAAGCUUUGGCGGUUAAAGAUGGGCAUGCGUGCCAUUAGCUAGUUGGUGAGGUAACGGCUCACCAAGGCAACGAUGGCUAGGGGUUCUGAGAGGAUUAUCCCCCGACACUGGUACUGAGACACGGGACCAGACUCCUACGGGAGGCAGCAGUAAGGAUAUUGGUCAAUGGACGCAAGUCUGAACCAGCCAUGCCGCGUGCAGGAUGACGGCCUUAUGGGUUGUAAACUGCUUUUUAUACAGGAAGAACACUCCCUCGUGAGGGGCUUGACGGUACUGUAUGAAUAGCACCGGCUAACUCCGUGCCAGCA